rnacentral:piRNA from 1 species
UUCAAUGAGAUGAGCUGCAACCAGGCAAC